rnacentral:rRNA from 1 species
UGUGAACUGCAGGACACAUGAACAUCGACAUUUCGAACGCACAUUGCGGUCCUCGGAUUCUGUUCCCGGACCACUCCUGGCUGAGGGUCGUGUCAAUUUCAAAGACUGCUCGGUGACGAUGCAGGUGUACUACUACUACUACGUAUGUAUAAACACCCAUGUCGACAUGUCGGAGCGUGGUGGACGUAAUACGCAUUUCUAUUAUUGAACUGCGACGUCUUAAAACACGAUAGUGCCCACUUAAUUGUUUGAUAAUAAGCAAUAUCAGCAAUUAUGGUUGGACGAUAACAACAGCUUGAUUCAUUUAUUACCAAAAUAAAUGUUUAGGUAAAAUUAAGCGAUCGUCGUGUCCGAUACAACGAUUGUUUUUUGACGACGUCAGAUCGCAUUUUUACAAGCAUAAACGUAUGGUAAAAGCAAAAAUGAACUGCUGCUGCUAACUGAUGAUUAUGAUACUAUCGACCUCAGAGCAGGUGAGACUA